CCUACGGGAGGCAGCAGUAGGGAAUAUUGCUCAAUGGGGGAAACCCUGAAGCAGCAACGCCGCGUGGAGGAUGAAGGUUUUCGGAUUGUAAACUUCUUUUGUUAGAGAAGAUAAUGACGGUAUCUAACGAAUAAGCACCGGCUAACUCCGUGCCAGCAGCCGCGGUAAUACGGAGGGUGCAAGCGUUAAUCGGAAUCACUGGGCGUAAAGAGCGCGUAGGCGGUAUAGCAAGUCAGUUGUGAAAUCCUUUGGCUUAACCCUAGAACUGCAUUUGAAACUGUUAUUCUUGAGUAUGGGAGAGGUAAGUGGAAUUCUUGGUGUAGGGGUAAAAUCCGUAGAGAUCAGGAGGAAUACUGAUUGCGAAGGCG
rnacentral:rRNA from 1 species